AACGCGAAGAACCUUACCUACCCUUGACAUGCCAGGAACUGCAGAGAUGUGGGAGUGCGAAAGAGAACCUGGACACAGGUGCUGCAUGGCCGGAGCGUGGUGAGAUGUUGGGUUAAGCCGCAACGAGCGCAACCCGCCAUUAGUUGCCAAUAGUUGGGCACUAGUGGGACUGCCGGUGAUAAGCCGGAGGAAGGUGGGGAUGACGAAGAAUGGCCCUUACGGGUUGGGCUACACACGUGCUACAAUGGCGGUGACAGUGGGCAGCUACCUAGCAAUAGGCAGCUAACCAAAAAGCCGAGUGGAUUGGGGUGCAACGACCCCAUGAAGGGAAGCUAGUAAGUAGAAGCACGCUACGGUAAUACGUCCGGGUUGUACACACCG
rnacentral:rRNA from 1 species